rnacentral:rRNA from 1 species
CAGUAACCGCGGGAAUACGUAGGGUGCAAGCGUUAAUCGGAAUUACUGGGCGUAAAGCGUGCGCAGGCGGUUAUAUAAGACAGAUGUGAAAUCCCCGGGCUCAACCUGGGAACUGCAUUUGUGACUGUAUAGCUAGAGUACGGCAGAGGGGGAUGGAAUUCCGCGUGUAGCAGUGAAAUGCGUAGAUAUGCGGAGGAACACCGAUGGCGAAGGCAAUCCCCUGGGCCUGUACUGACGCUCAUGCACGAAAGCGUGGGGAGCAAACAGGAUUAGAUACCCCCGUAGUCCCUGUCUCUUAUAC